GGCAAUAGCACAACGGCUUUUGCUGCUCGCCGGCUUCUUAGAGGGACUAUCAUAAUCUAGCUGAUGGAAGUUUGAGGCAAUAACAGGUCUGUGAUGCCCUUAGAUGUUCUGGGCCGCACGCGCGCUACACUGACAGAGCCAGCGAGUUUAUAACCUUGGCCGGAAGGUCUGGGUAAUCUUGUGAAACUCUGUCGUGCUGGGGAUAGAGCAUUGCAAUUCUUGCUCUUCAACGAGGAAUUCCUAGUAAGCGUGAGUCAUCAGCUCGCGUUGAUUACGUCCCUGCCCUUUGUACACACCGCCCGUCGCUACUACCAUUGGAAUGGCUAA
rnacentral:rRNA from 1 species